rnacentral:rRNA from 1 species
UCAAGCUAAAAAGAGCGCAAGGUGAAUGCCUUGGCAUCGGAAGCCGAAGAAGGACGCGACAAGCUGCGAAAAGCUGCGGGGAGCUGCAAAUAAGCCCAGAUCCGCAGAUAUCCGAAUGGGGAAACCCCGUUAUAUGAAGUAUAGCGAGUGUACACUGAAUACAUAGGUGUAUACGGGGAACCCGCCGAACUGAAACAUCUAAGUAGGCGGAGGAAAAGAAAUCAAACGAGAUUGCGCGAGUAGCGGCGAGCGAAAGCGUAAGAGGCUAAACCGCAAGUAGAAAUACAUGCGGGGUUGUGGACGGCAUAAAGCAUUUUCAAAUGGUAGCCGAAGUGAAUGGGAAGUCACACCGUAGGAAGUGAGAGUCUUGUAGGCGAAACCAAAUGAAAGCGGGCCGUAUCCGGAGUAUGUACGAACACGUGGAAUUUGUACAGAACAUUGGGGGACCACCCUCAAAGCCUAAAUACUAACCGAUGACCGAUAGUGAAGCAGUACUGUGAAGGAAAGGUGAAAAGAACCCCGAAAGGGGAGUGAAAGAGAACCUGAAACCUUGUGUUUACAAGCACACAAAGAGCGUUAAGGCUCGAUGUGGUACUUUUUGUAGAACGGUCCGGCGAGUUAACUUAUACAGCGAGGUUAAGCACUUAAGGUGUGGAGCCGAAGGGAAACCGAGUUUAAAUAGAGCGAAUAGUUGUAUGAGUUAGACCCGAAACCGGGUGACCUAUCCAUGUCCAGGAUGAAGUCGGGGUAAAGCCCGAUGGAGGACCGAACCGACCCCCGUUGAAAAGUUGGCGGAUGAGGUGUGGAUAGCGGAGAAAUUCCAAUCGAACCCGGAGAUAGCUGGUUCUCCCCGAAAUAGCUUUAGGGCUAGCCUUGUAAUAGACAUUACCGGAGGUAAAGCACUGAAUAGGUUAGGGGCCGAGAGGUUACCGACCCUUAUCAAACUCUGAAUGCCGGAUAAUGAUAAACAGGAGUCAGACUGUGUGAGAUAAGUCUCACGGUCAAAAGGGAAACAGCCCAGAUCUACAGCUAAGGUCCCAAAUGUAUGCUAAGUGGAGAAGGAUGUGACGUUGCAGAGACAACCAGGAUGUUGGCUCAGAAGCAGCCACUCAUUCAAAGAGUGCGUAAUAGCUCACUGGUCGAGUGAAGUUGCGCCGAAAAUUUAACGGGGCUAAGCAUACAACCGAAGCUUAGGCUGCAUACAAAAUGUAUGCGGGGUAGGGGAGCGUUGUGUACGGAGUGAAGCAUUAGCGAAAGCAGGUGUGGACUGUACAGAAGAGAGAAUGCCGGAAUAAGUAGCGAGAAUUGCGUGAGAAUCGCAAUGGCCGAAAGUCUGAGGUUUCUAGGGGCAGGUUCGUCCGCCCUAGGUAAGCCGGAAGCUAAGGAGAGGCCGGAAGGCGUAGCCGAUGCACAUACGGUAGAGAUUCCGUAGCCGCCGAAACUGUUAAGUAUACUGACACUGAGUAAACUCGUAAGCCGGGCGAUGGUUGACCCGGUCGUAAGGGACUGAAAUUUAGUAAGGAAGUACGAGGUAAUCAGGCGAGAAAAGGUAUAUGUAUUGGUAAGGCGUCCGUACCGCAAACCGACACAGGUAGAUGAGGAGAGAAUCCUAAGGCCAUCGGGAGAAGGGUUGUUAAGGAACUCGGCAAAUUGACCCCGUAACUUAGGGAGAAGGGGAGCCUGCGAAAGCAGGCCGCAGUGAAUAGGCUCAGGCAACUGUUUAGCAAAAACACAGGUCUCUGCUAAAUCGAAAGAUGAAGUAUAGGGGCUGACGCCUGCCCGGUGCCGGAAGGUCAAGGGGAAGUGUUAGAGCAAUCGAAGCACAGAACUUAAGCCCCGGUAAACGGCGGCCGUAACUAUAACGGUCCUAAGGUAGCGAAAUUCCUUGUCAGGUAAGUUCUGACCC